rnacentral:pre_miRNA from 1 species
CUACUACUCCCUUCGUCCGGAAAUACUUGUCAUCAAAAUGGAUAAAAGGGGAUGUAUCUAGACGUAUUUUAGUUCUAGAUACAUUUUUUUAUCCAUUUUGAUAACAAGUAUUUUCGGACGGAGGAAGUACUAC